GCCCAGCUUAGAGGGUAUUGGCUCGCUUUGCAAACUGAGACGGAUAACCUCGAGUGAAAAAACUAUUUGAACACUAAAACAUGUGUCCAAAAGAACUGUCAAAUGGACAAACAAAUGAUUCGUUCACCCGACGAGAUGGAUGCCUAGUUACCCAUUUUAUUCAGGGCUGCCAGCGAACUCGAGUAAUAAUUUUGUGACAAGUAAAGAAUGGGUAACAUCCAUUAUCACAUUGCCUAAACGAAAUAUGUUACAUAUGAUGCCCUUGUUAAAAUUCCUUACAUUAUUCCGAGGAAGUGAUUGUGCCAUAUUGGUUAUGUGUAAUGUAACAAAAACCGUCGUUCUAAAACUGAUUAGAAGACUUUUCUGGUUUGUUUUUUCUAAAUAUUUAAUAUAUUUAUAUACCAACUUAAAAACACAGAAAAUAAAAUACAAAUGUAAAAAGAUAUAAAAAAUUGAAAUAUAAUGAAA
rnacentral:lncRNA from 1 species